rnacentral:rRNA from 1 species
GGUUAAGCGACUAAGCGUACACGGUGGAUGCCCUGGCAGUCAGAGGCGAUGAAGGACGUGCUAAUCUGCGAAAAGCGUCGGUAAGGUGAUAUGAACCGUUACAGCCGGCGAUGUCCGAAUGGGGAAACCCAGUGCAAUUCGUUGCACUAUCGUUAACUGAAUACAUAGGUUAACGAGGCGAACCGGGGGAACUGAAACAUCUAAGUACCCCGAGGAAAAGAAAUCAACCGAGAUUCCCCCAGUAGCGGCGAGCGAACGGGGAGCAGCCCAGAGUCUGAAUCAGCUUGUGUGUUAGUGGAACGGUCUGGAAAGUCCGACGGUACAGGGUGAUAGUCCCGUACACCAAAAUGCACAGGCUGUGAACUCGAAGAGUAGGGCGGGACACGUGGUAUCCUGUCUGAAUAUGGGGGGACCAUCCUCCAAGGCUAAAUACUCCUGACUGACCGAUAGUGAACCAGUACCGUGAGGGAAAGGCGAAAAGAACCCCGGCGAGGGGAGUGAAAAAGAACCUGAAACCGUGUACGUACAAGCAGUGGGAGCACCUUCGGGUGUGACUGCGUACCUUUUGUAUAAUGGGUCAGCGACUUAUAUUCUGUAGCAAGGUUAACCGUAUAGGGGAGCCGCAGGGAAACCGAGUCUUAACUGGGCGUUAAGUUGCAGGGUAUAGACCCGAAACCCGGUGAUCUAGCCAUGGGCAGGUUGAAGGUUGGGUAACACUAACUGGAGGACCGAACCGACUAAUGUUGAAAAAUUAGCGGAUGACUUGUGGCUGGGGGUGAAAGGCCAAUCAAACCGGGAGAUAGCUGGUUCUCCCCGAAAGCUAUUUAGGUAGCGCCUCGUGAACUCAUCUUCGGGGGUAGAGCACUGUUUCGGCUAGGGGGUCAUCCCGACUUACCAACCCGAUGCAAACUACGAAUACCGAAGAAUGUUAUCACGGGAGACACACGGCGGGUGCUAACGUCCGUCGUGAAGAGGGAAACAACCCAGACCGCCAGCUAAGGUCCCAAAGUCAUGGUUAAGUGGGAAACGAUGUGGGAAGGCACAGACAGCCAGGAUGUUGGCUUAGAAGCAGCCAUCAUUUAAAGAAAGCGUAAUAGCUCACUGGUCGAGUCGGCCUGCGCGGAAGAUGUAACGGGGCUAAACCAUGCACCGAAGCUGCGGCAGCGACACUAUGUGUUGUUGGGUAGGGGAGCGUUCUGUAAGCCUGCGAAGGUGUGCUGUGAGGCAUGCUGGAGGUAUCAGAAGUGCGAAUGCUGACAUAAGUAACGAUAAAGCGGGUGAAAAGCCCGCUCGCCGGAAGACCAAGGGUUCCUGUCCAACGUUAAUCGGGGCAGGGUGAGUCGACCCCUAAGGCGAGGCCGAAAGGCGUAGUCGAUGGGAAACAGGUUAAUAUUCCUGUACUUGGUGUUACUGCGAAGGGGGGACGGAGAAGGCUAUGUUAGCCGGGCGACGGUUGUCCCGGUUUAAGCAUGUAGGCUGGUUAUCCAGGCAAAUCCGGAUAAUCAAGGCUGAGGUGUGAUGACGAGGCACUACGGUGCUGAAGUAACAAAUGCCCUGCUUCCAGGAAAAGCCUCUAAGCAUCAGGUAACAUCAAAUCGUACCCCAAACCGACACAGGUGGUCAGGUAGAGAAUACCAAGGCGCUUGAGAGAACUCGGGUGAAGGAACUAGGCAAAAUGGUGCCGUAACUUCGGGAGAAGGCACGCUGGUGUGUAGGUGAAGUCCCUGCGGAUGGAGCUGAGACCAGUCGAAGAUACCAGCUGGCUGCAACUGUUUAUUAAAAACACAGCACUGUGCAAACACGAAAGUGGACGUAUACGGUGUGACGCCUGCCCGGUGCCGGAAGGUUAAUUGAUGGGGUUAUCCGUAAGGAGAAGCUCUUGAUCGAAGCCCCGGUAAACGGCGGCCGUAACUAUAACGGUCCUAAGGUAGCGAAAUUCCUUGUCGGGUAAGUUCCGACCUGCACGAAUGGCGUAAUGAUGGCCAGGCUGUCUCCACCCGAGACUCAGUGAAAUUGAACUCGCUGUGAAGAUGCAGUGUACCCGCGGCAAGACGGAAAGACCCCGUGAACCUUUACUAUAGCUUGACACUGAACAUUGAGCCUUGAUGUGUAGGAUAGGUGGGAGGCUUUGAAGCGUGGACGCCAGUCUGCGUGGAGCCAACCUUGAAAUACCACCCUUUAAUGUUUGAUGUUCUAACGUUGGCCCCUGACCGGGGUUGCGGACAGUGUCUGGUGGGUAGUUUGACUGGGGCGGUCUCCUCCCAAAGCGUAACGGAGGAGCACGAAGGUUAGCUAAUCCUGGUCGGACAUCAGGAGGUUAGUGCAAUGGCAUAAGCUAGCUUGACUGCGAGCGUGACGGCGCGAGCAGGUGCGAAAGCAGGUCAUAGUGAUCCGGUGGUUCUGAAUGGAAGGGCCAUCGCUCAACGGAUAAAAGGUACUCCGGGGAUAACAGGCUGAUACCGCCCAAGAGUUCAUAUCGACGGCGGUGUUUGGCACCUCGAUGUCGGCUCAUCACAUCCUGGGGCUGAAGUAGGUCCCAAGGGUAUGGCUGUUCGCCAUUUAAAGUGGUACGCGAGCUGGGUUUAGAACGUCGUGAGACAGUUCGGUCCCUAUCUGCCGUGGGCGCUGGAGAAUUGAGGGGGGCUGCUCCUAGUACGAGAGGACCGGAGUGGACGCAUCACUGGUGUUCGGGUUGUCAUGCCAAUGGCACUGCCCGGUAGCUAAAUGCGGAAGAGAUAAGUGCUGAAAGCAUCUAAGCACGAAACUUGCCCCGAGAUGAGUUCUCCCUGAGACUAUAAGUCUCCUGAAGGAACGUUAAAGACGAUGACGUUGAUAGGCCGGGUGUGUAAGCGCAGCGAUGCGUUGAGCUAACCGGUACUAAUGAACCGUGAGGCUUAACCUU